GAUGAAGAACGCAGCGAAAUGCGAUACUUGGUGUGAAUUGCAGAAUCCCGUGAACCAUCGAGUCUUUGAACGCAAGUUGCGCCCGAAGCCAUUAGGCCGAGGGCACGCCUGCCUGGGCGUCACACGUCGUUGCCCCCCCAUCUACUCCUUCGGGAUUGCGGGGGGCGGAUGAUGGCCUCCCGUGCGCCUCGUCGCGCGGUUGGCCUAAAUGCCAAGUCCUCGGCGACGCACGCCACGACAAUCGGUGGUUGCGAAACCUCGGUUGCCUGUCGUGUGCGGUCGUCGCGCAUCGAGGGCUCGAAAAAAUUGCCGGGCUUCGGCUCGACUUUCAACGCGACCCCAGGUCAGGCGGGGUUACCCGCUGAAUUUAAGCAUAUCAAUAGGCGGAGGA
rnacentral:misc_RNA from 1 species